rnacentral:rRNA from 1 species
AAUGGGGGAAACCCUGAUCCAGCCAUACCGCGUGAGUGAAGAAGGCCUUCGGGUUGUAAAGCUCUUUCAGCCGGAAAGAAAUCGUGCAGGCUAAUACCCUGUAUGGAUGACGGUACCGGAAGAAGAAGCACCGGCUAACUACGUGCCUGCAGCCGCGGUAAUACGUAGGGUGCGAGCGUUAAUCGGAAUUACUGGGCGUAAAGCGUGCGCAGGUGGUUGUUUAAGACAGAUGUGAAAUCCCCGGGCUUAACCUGGGAACUGCGCUUGUGACUGCCAGGCUAGAGUACGGCAGAGGGGGGUGGAAUUCCACGUGUAGCAGUGAAAUGCGUAGAGAUGUGGAGGAACACCAAUGGCGAAGGCAGCCCCCUGGGUCGAUACUGACGCUCAUGCACGAAAGCGUGGGGAGCAAA